rnacentral:rRNA from 1 species
UACGUAGGGGGCGAGCGUUGUCCGGAAUUAUUGGGCGUAAAGAGCUCGUAGGCGGUUCAGUCAGUCGGGUGUGAAAUCUCCGGGCUCAACUCGGAGGGGCCACCCGAUACUGCUGUGACUUGAGUCCGGUAGGGGAGUGGGGAAUUCCUGGUGUAGCGGUGAAAUGCGCAGAUAUCAGGAGGAACACCGGUGGCGAAGGCGCCACUCUGGGCCGGUACUGACGCUGAGGAGCGAAAGCGUGGGGAGCAAACAGG